CCUACGGGUGGCAGCAGUGAGGAAUAUUGGUCAAUGGACGAGAGUCUGAACCAGCCAAGUAGCGUGAAGGAUGACUGCCCUACGGGUUGUAAACUUCUUUUAUAUGGGAAUAAAACGUUCCACGUGUGGGAUUUUGUAUGUACCAUAUGAAUAAGGAUCGGCUAACUCCGUGCCAGCAGCCGCGGUAAUACGGAGGAUCCGAGCGUUAUCCGGAUUUAUUGGGUUUAAAGGGAGCGUAGGUGGAUUGUUAAGUCAGUUGUGAAAGUUUGCGGCUCAACCGUAAAAUUGCAGUUGAAACUGGCAGUCUUGAGUACAGUAGAGGCGGGCGGAAUUCGUGGUGUAGCGGUGAAAUGCUUAGAUAUCACGAAGAACUCCGAUUGCGAAGGCAGUUCACUGGACUGCAACUGACACUGAGGCUCGAAAGUGUGGGUAUCAAACAGGAUUAGAUACCCGAGUAGUC
rnacentral:rRNA from 1 species